GUCAUUUAGAGAUAUUUUAAUUACUAUAAUACAGUCUUUAUCUAGAAUAUAGAGUUAUAAAGAAAGCGAACUUUAUAACAUGCUACCGGCUGGCCACUCGUUUGAUUUUGAUCACCGCAAGGGGUGCGCACUCAAAAUCUCCCGCUCUGUCAACUUCACGGAUGACAGUUUGCAAAUCCGGUUUUCUGCCAAUGCCGUUGAAAGUUGCCAUCUUUCAAACAGCUGCCGUGUGCAAGUGUUCGACGACCUACCGUCGUGCGCAGAUAGAUAUAGUAUGGUACAUCAGUACGAAGCAAGUCUCCUUUUCUCCUGCGGGGUUCCGAUAACAUCAUUAUUAAUAAAUCAUCGACAAGAAGUUCAAAAAAGCGCGCGCCAUAUUCAGCGAGAUUUGCAAAUCUGACGGCAUGAACAUGUACUCCUCCGAUGGAAAUACACUAAAGCACUUAUGAACGACCCAAAAUCUGCCAGAUACGUUGAUUUUGUCAUCGGCCCGUAACAGGACAAUCGUCUGGGUGAUCCCUAUGCGACCCAUCUCCGUGCAUCUCUCGUCUACUGUUUCUUUGCGAAAAACCUUUUCUGGGAAACCCUUUUAACUUCACAAAACAUACGAGCGUAGAGAAGGAUCGCCAAAGAUGCUGAUCGAAUUCAUCGGUACUAACAAUUGUUCUUGUGUGUAUUGCGGCGGCAUUUGUGGUGUUCUAACAGCCAGAUAAUUAUCUUCGGAAUGAACAAACAUAAGUUAGCGCGAAUAUUGCCGUUACGCUCAAGGCAAAGUUAACGCGCGUAGCAUUCGAGUGAUGUGGUAAAUGUAGAUCAAUCUGGAACUUACCCACAUCUGAAACAACUCUACUGGAGACAGCAGAGUGCUCUAAGAUGUAUUUAUCCACACGUGUAGUCUCGUUUUCGUAAAGCAUUUCUUGUUUGCCAACGAGUGGUCAAGACGGAAAGGGAAAUUCUUGUCCGCAGCCCCUGCUGCUACUAGUUAAUAUCGUCGCCCUACAUACUAUAUCAUAUACGUAAACGGCUACCGUCAAACAAACCGCAUUUGCCAUGCUAUUGCUUUGCCGAGUUAUGGCGAUACACGAUAAGUUCGAUACACUCUAAGGAUAUCCCCUUACACAUGUCGUUCCUGGCACCCGUUACUAGUUUCUUCCUCGCUACGCUUUAUCUCCUCUACUUUUAUCCGGCCGGCCCUGCGUAAGCAAGAUUGUGCCAAUUAAUCAACUAGAUCAAGUAAACAACCCGUUCGGGUGUUCCGCUCUGUCUUCAGCGCGGGGCGUUUCGAAUAUCGGUAGCAAUCGAGUUCUCGGGAAAGCGGCAGCGUCGUUCAGCGUUUGCGCUGCUUUUUUUUUGUUUCGAAAUCACUAGGUACGCAGCCCGUUAAAUAAAAGG